AUGGUGAAUGUGAUAAUUAAUCUUCCCUUGAGUGGUGGGGUGGCCAUUUUUAAGAACCCGUUCAGGAGGGGUGACAACCUCCUUAUAAGUCCUCGCUACUUUUUAUCUUCCAUGCUUCUUUCAAACUUUUUAUGCACCAAAGAUGUUGGAUGCCAUAAAGUAGGAAAAGUUAUGUGCGACUGCUACACACCACAAGGUGUUCCAAUCCCCACCAACAAGAGGCACAAUGCUGCCAAGAUCUUCAACACCUCGAAGGUUGCAGCUGAGGAGAGAUGGUAUGGAAUUGAGCAGGAGUACACUCUCCUCCAGAAGGAUGUGAACUGGCCCCUUGGCUGGCCCGUUGGUGGCUACCCUGGUCCUCAGGCAAGAAAACUCUCAGCAUGCUCUCCAGCUUUCCUGUUUUUGUUAUGCAGGUUGGAAGAAAAGAAGAAGAUCCAGAGAAGAUCUUAG
rnacentral:rRNA from 1 species